UAAUCCCUUAUUUAUAUACGGUUCAUGUAUUUGAUUGAUUUAAUGUUUCUGAUUGGAAUCAUAAACAAUUACUUGUUUCCUCUUCUUUACUCCAUUAAAGUAUCACUUAAUUAUGUAACAAAACUGUGGAAAGUCUUGGUAAUGAUGGAAAAAGAGAAAUGAAUAACUUACAAGGUUGAUAUUUGUGUAGUGUAAUCAAGGGACCGCUAUGGUCAAUACCCGCAACAAGAAGUCAAAAGGGGGGCAUGGAUGAUCACGGUGUUGCAUACAUGAUCUUGUGUUAUAGACUAAUACGAUUGCAAGAUCAAUUGUGCAUACUCAUAAUCUCAUAUAUUGUUCAUCCAAUAAAUUCAAUGAUCCUAUAUUAUUUGAUCCUAAAGGGCAUGUGAUAAUCUGACCCUAAUUAUAUAUUCUUAUGUUCCCAUUAAAGUCAAUGGGAACAUCUUGCAAUCUCAGCCAUUGGAUGAAGGUGAGAUUAAAUCCUAACCCUUAUAAUUAAGAAAAAGAAGGGGAGGUUACCAAACGGUUGGGUCAACCCUUUUCUCUACCCCACGUCUCGCCAGUUACCAGCAUAUCCCCAUUCCUUUUGAAGCAUAUCUUAUAUUCAAUGUCGAUUUCAAAACAUUCGACCAUUCUUCCAUUGCGAUCUGAUAUGACCUCGCGACAUGUUGUCUACAUUCUCCUCACCAUAAUCAUUCAUGUUCGCGGAUCACAGGGCCAGAUUCAUUCAUGAUUCUGUUGUUAUAUUUGAAUGGUAUGCUGCAUUGAAGGAGUUCUUAAAGGACCUUCCGCUUUUAUCUUGCUCUGAAACCUAAACCUAACAAGGAAUGAGAAAAACCACAAAGGGAGGCAAACAAACUGUUGGAUUGAGUGCUUUGCUGCAUAUAGAGUUGAAGGGGUACCUAUUUUUCUGAUUCUCAAGAUGUUGCUGCUGCACUGAUGCUUUUCUGCUUACUGAACCUUCAGGUGCUAAUCGAUUUCAAGUGCAAUAUUAAGAGUUAAUC